rnacentral:rRNA from 1 species
UACGUAGGGGCAAGCGUUGUCCGGAUUCAUUGGCGUAAAGAGCGUGUAGGCGGCCAGGUAGGUCGGUUGUGAAAACUGGAGGCUCAACCUUCAGAGGUCGACCGAAACCAUCUGGCUAGAGUCCGGGAGAGGAGGAGUGGAAUUACGUGGUGUAGCGGUGAAAUGCGCAGAUAUCAGGAAGAACACCCGUGGCGAAAGCGGCUCUCUGGAACGGUACUGACGCUGAGACGCGAAAGCGUGGGGAGCGAACAGG